GACGUAGGGCGCGAGCGUUGUCCGGAUUUAUUGGGCGUAAAGAGCUCGUAGGCGGCUUGUCGCGUCGACUGUGAAAACCCGCGGCUCAACUGCGGGCCUGCAGUCGAUACGGGCAGGCUAGAGUUCGGUAGGGGAGACUGGAAUUCCUGGUGUAGCGGUGAAAUGCGCAGAUAUCAGGAGGAACACCGGUGGCGAAGGCGGGUCUCUGGACGGUGACUGACGCUGAGACGCGAAAGCGUGGGGAGCAAACAGG
rnacentral:rRNA from 1 species